rnacentral:rRNA from 1 species
UAGGGAAUCUUCCGCAAUGGACGAAAGUCUGACGGAGCAACGCCGCGUGAGUGAUGAAGGUCUUCGGAUCGUAAAACUUUGUUGUUAGGGAAGAACAAGUAUCGGAGUAACUGCCGGUACCUUGACGGUACCUAACCAGAAAGCCACGGCUAACUACGUGCCAGCAGCCGCGGUAAUACGUAGGUGGCAAGCGUGGUACGGAAUUAUUGGGCGUAAAGCGCGCGCAGGUGGUUCCUUAAGUCUGAUGUGAAAGCCCACGGCUCAACCGUGGAGGGUCAUUGGAAACUGAGGAACUUGAGUGCAGAAGAGGAAAGUGGAAUUCCAAGUGUAGCGGUGAAAUGCGUAGAGAUUUGGAGGAACACCAGUGGCGAAGGCGACUUUCUGGUCUGUAACUGACACUGUGGCGCGAAAGCGUGGGGGGCGAACAGG